CCUACGGGUGGCAGCAGUGAGGAAUAUUGGUCAAUGGGCGAGAGCCUGAACCAGCCAAGUCGCGUGAGGGAGUACUGCCCUAUGGAUCGUAAACCUCUUUUAUAAGGGAAUAAAGUGUGGGACGUGUCCUAUUUUGUAUGUACCUUAUGAAUAAGGAUCGGCUAACUCCGUGCCAGCAGCCGCGGUAAUACGGAGGAUCCGAGCGUUAUCCGGAUUUAUUGGGUUUAAAGGGUGCGUAGGCGGCCUGUUAAGUCAGCGGUGAAAGUCUGUGGCUCAACCAUAGAAUUGCCGUUGAAACUGGGGGGCUUGAGUAUGUUUGAGGCAGGCGGAAUGCGUGGUGUAGCGGUGAAAUGCUUAGAUAUCACGCAGAACCCCGAUUGCGAAGGCAGCCUGCCAAGCCAUGACUGACGCUGAUGCACGAAAGCGUGGGGAUCAAACAGGAUUAGAUACCCUUGUAGUC
rnacentral:rRNA from 1 species